CGCCUGUUUAUCAAAAACAUCGCCUUUUGUAUAACCAAAAAUAAGAGGUCCUGCCUGCCCAGUGAAUUUUUUAUCAACGGCCGCGGUAUUUUGACCGUGCAAAGGUAGCGUAAUCAUUUGUCUUUUAAAUGAAGACCUGUAUGAACGGCUCAACGAGGGCUUAGCUGUCUCCUUUUUCUGGUCAAUGAAAUUGAUCCCCCCGUGCAAAAGCGGGGAUAUACACAUAAGACGAGAAGACCCUAUGGAGCUUUAGAUGCGACGCAAGCCAUAACUGCUGCUUCUAAAUAAAAGAAAUCAACACACUAGCUCCUGCCUCAGCAUCUUCGGUUGGGGUGACCAUGGGGAACAAAAAACCCCCACGUCCCUGUACUGGAGUCUUUUUAAGAACCCACCAUACUCACUGAAACAAGAGUCACAACUCUAAUUAACAGAAUCUCUGACUAUUGAUCCGGCAAUGCCGAUUAACGAACCAAGUUACCCUAGGGAUAACAGCGCAAUCCCCUUCCAGAGCCCAUAUCGACAAGGGGGCUUACGACCUCGAUGUUGGAUCAGGACAUCCUAACGGUGCAACCGCUGUUAAGGGUUCGUUUGUUCAACGAUUAAAGUCCUACGUGAUCUGAGUUCAGACCGG
rnacentral:rRNA from 1 species